AAACUGAGCUCAUGCAGUAAGGAUAAGAAAAAAAAACAUAAAAAGAAAGGCAGCAUAAAAUGAUUCCUUUGCAUCAUCAGAUGAGAAGUUUUCUCCUCUUCUGUUAGAACAUGACUUGAUUUUGGUUUUGCAUUGUAAACAUCCACUCACAAUGCUCCAAAAUUUUUUCCCUUAACUUUGCAUGUUUCCCCUCUUUUCAAAGACAACUGCAAGGCAUGGGUCAGCAGAACGAUAUCUACCAUACAGGCGGCUUAAGCUGCCAGAUGCAAUGGGAGCUACUGGCACAAGCAGGAUGAUGCUGCAGCUCACUAUGAGACUGGGUGGCUCGCAACUAUGGCUUGAUGAGAUGGCAUCUCCAGUAACCCAAUAGGUGGGAGUGCGAGCAGGUUGGUGCUUCACUGAAGGAAAGACUCCAAGGAAUUAACUUUUUGGUAGCUAUAUGAGGAAACUUGGUAAAAAGUCAUCAUCUUCUGAAUGGUGAUUUCAUAGAAUUGAAAGCUUCUAAAAGAAACUGGGGAAGUUUUGAAGUACUGCCUCUGGAUACAACUUUAUUCUUGAAGCAACUUACUACUUCUCAACAAGAAAUUCAUCUGUUGAACUGUUCUGCUGUUUGUUCUCAGACCACUUUUGCCUAUACUUUCUCCUAGAAGAGAUGGGGAUGAACUGCAUAAUCUGCUGAGCUAAUGCAGAGCAGAUGUUUUCCCUUUCUCCGCAGCUGGAUGUGCCACUGCCCGGUUAUCAGGUGAGUUCCUGGAGAGUUUUUAUAGGGAUGGUAAGAGAGGGCUAGGUUCUUUGCACUGUUGAUCUCUUUGCCCCUUUCCCACGCCACUUAUGCAAGGGCACACAUUCAAGAGGAGAAGAGAAUUGUCCUGUGCUAUCACCCAGCACCAUCAGAAAUCGUCCUUAGUCUCCCGACA
ensembl:lncRNA